UUUUAUAUGCAUUUUAAAAGUGUAUUUUAUUUUUAAAAAAUAACUUUGAUUUUUAAUAUACUGAUAACACAAAAAAAAUAUAAAAAAAUAUUUUUCAUAUUUUCUUGAUUAACAGCACUGAUUUGUAGAUGGGAACUGGAAUUGGGAUUGAUUGAAGGAGAACAAUAUCUAGGGAUAGUUUUGUAACUGAACAAGUACCAAUCGGUCACUGCAAUAUUUACUGAGAUUGGAGCAUGUGGGCUACGAAGUUCUGGCAUGUUCUCUGAUUAGUUUUCAAAGGAAGAAGGAUUUGAAAAUAGGAAAAAUGGAAGACAGGGAGGCAUAAGUGAAGUGAUGAUAUAAAAUAAUUUCUCUAGAGUGAGGUUACUGCCCGCCUCUCUGAAAAGGCAGACAUGGUGAUUCCAUUUGCAACAGCAUUCAGAAAAAAAGGGAGGAACACUCGUGGUCACAGAUACUAAGGGAACAUUCAUCGAUGAGAAGUGGCUGAGACCUGGAGCUGCUGUCAGUGUAUCGCCUGGAAAUCGUAUCACAUCUGGGGAUACUUAUCUGGCUAUGUUUCUUGUCUCCAAGCAUGCCAGAUUACUGUUGGUACUGAUACUGACUCGGCGGGUUCAAGCUGAAGAAUAGAAGGAUCAGUGGCGGGAAAUUUAAAGGGAACAAACUCGAGCCAUAAUUUCAAGCUGGGUCAAAAAAGACGCGGCUGUGAAAAUGGUUUGUUUUGGAGGUGAAACCAUCGUUGAUAGGAGUCGCCUAACAGAAUUAGAGUUCUACAUCAGCUGUAAGUUUAUAGUUUAUAGGAGACUAGAGGUUUGCAAGAAUUAUGACUGUGUUAAAGUUAGAAUUCUGCAGUAACAAGUCAAUGUUAGAGUUUUAUUCUUAUUAGGAGAUGGUUAUUUGAUUAAUUUCUUCACGUUGUUAGAUGAUGUUAAGAAGUCUUUGCCUAGUAUGAUUUGUAAAGGCUAUUUAAAGCCAUCUUGACUAUUCAGAAUACAUAGAAAACUUCUAGAGAUUUGUUCAAAAUUGAGAGAUCAUACUUGUGUAAACAUGAGUAGAAUAGGAACUCUUGAGGAGGAUUUGGUGGAAUUAGUGAGGAAAGUGGAAAGUAUGAUUGUUCUGAAACGAAGGGAGAUUGAUAGAAAGGCACAGAUGGCGCAAAAAAUUGAGAAUUUGAUGGUGGAGUUGACCCUUGAGAAGGAAAAGAACUUCAAGUUAAAGAUGGAAUUGGAGACUGUCAGAGAAGGAACUGUUGAGAAGGGUUUAGCGGAAUUAAAGGGGCAAGUGGAGAGCAUGAAUGUUCUGUUACGAAGGGAGGCUGAUGGAAAGGCACAGAUGGUGCAAAAAAUUGAGAAUCUGAUGGAGGAGAUGAUCCUUGAGAAGGAAAAGAACUUCAAGUUAAAGAUGAUAUUGGAGACUAUCAACUUCGUGUCUUCUGGUGCGACUACUGCUGCUUCAAUUGUUUAAGUUUUUCUUACAAUGAUAUUAAGUACUGAAUGUGUUGAGAAUGGAUAUUUCUUGAGUUUUUAGGAAAAUAAAUAUUUUUCUUACUUAAUUUUAUUUUUCUUAAGUUUUCUUA